rnacentral:rRNA from 1 species
CAGUCGAACGGCAGCACGGGAGCAAUCCUGGUGGCGAGUGGCGAACGGGCGUGUAAUAUAUCGGAACGUGCCCAGUCGUGGGGGAUAACGCAGCGAAAGCUGUGCUAAUACCGCAUACGAUCUCUGGAUGAAAGCGGGGGACUCGUAAGAGCCUCGCGCGAUUGGAGCGGCCGAUAUCAGAUUAGCUAGUUGGUGGGGUAAAGGCCCACCAAGGCGACGAUCUGUAGCUGGUCUGAGAGGACGACCAGCCACACUGGAACUGAGACACGGCCCAGACUCCUACGGGAGGCAGCAGUGGGGAAUUUUGGACAAUGGGCGCAAGCCUGAUCCAGCAAUGCCGCGUGCAGGAUGAAGGCCUUCGGGUUGUAAACUGCUUUUGUACGGAACGAAAAGGUCUGCCUUAAUGCGGUGGGCCCAUGACGGUACCGUAAGAAUAAGCACCGGCUAACUACGUGCCAGCAGCCGCGGUAAUACGCAGGGUGCGAGCGUUAAUCGGAAUUACUGGGCGUAAAGCGUGCGCAGGCGGUUAUAUAAGACAGAUGUGAAAUCCCCGGGCUCAACCUGGGACCUGCAUUUGUGACUGUAUAGCUAGAGUACGGUAGAGGGGGAUGGAAUUCCGCGUGUAGC